GUAGGUGAACCUGCGGAAGGAUCAUUAACACGUGCAUUAACUCACGUAUUAACCAAACGCGAAAUGUUGUUAAGCCUGUUAUUGGAGUUGAGCUGACUGUCUGGGAAUGGUGUGACUACGGUGCUUCGCGCAUAGGGUCUAACAGACGGUCUCAGCGUGCUUGACACGCGGUUCGCUUCAGUAAUAGUAGAUGAAUUUCGGCUGCGUAUUAAGCCUGCACCUUGGCUUGCAGUCGGAGUGAAAUUAUUAC
rnacentral:misc_RNA from 1 species